AUUGAACGCUGGCGGCAGGCUUAACACAUGCAAGUCGAGCGGGGGAAGGUAGCUUGCUACCGGACCUAGCGGCGGACGGGUGAGUAAUGCUUAGGAAUCUGCCUAUUAGUGGGGGACAACAUCUCGAAAGGGAUGCUAAUACCGCAUACGUCCUACGGGAGAAAGCAGGGGAUCUUCGGACCUUGCGCUAAUAGAUGAGCCUAGGUCGGAUUAGCUAGUUGGUGGGGUAGAGGCCUACCAAGGCGACGAUCUGUAGCGGGUCUGAGAGGAUGAUCCGCCACACUGGGACUGAGACACGGCCCAGACUCCUACGGGAGGCAGUAGUGGGGAAUAUUGGACAAUGGGGGGAACCCUGAUCCAGCCAUGCCGCGUGUGUGAAGAAGGCCUUAUGGUUGUAAAGCACUUUAAGCGAGGAGGAGGCUACUCUAGUUAAUACCUAGGGAUAGUGGACGUUACUCGCAGAAUAAGCACCGGCUAACUCUGUGCCAGCCGCCGCAGUAA
rnacentral:rRNA from 1 species